CGGUUGAUCCUGCCGGAGGCUACUGCUAUCGGAGUUCGAUUAAGCCAUGCGAGUCUAAAGGUUUCUUCGGAAGCCUUGGCGGACUGCUCAGUAACACGUGGAUAACCUACCCUUGGGACUGGAAUAACCCCGGGAAACUGGGGAUAAUACCGGAUAGAUCAGGGAUGCUGGAAUGCACCUUGAUCCAAAGCUCCGGCGCCCAAGGAUGGGUCUGCGGCCUAUCAGGUUGUAGUGGGUGUAACGUACCUACUAGCCGACGACGGGUACGGGUUGUGAGAGCAAGAGCCCGGAGAUGGAUUCUGAGACACGAAUCCAGGCCCUACGGGGUGCAGCAGGCGCGAAACCCUUACAAUGUGCGAAAGCAUGAUAAGGGAACUCCGAGUGCCAGUAUCUAAUACUGGCUGUCCUUGUGCCUAAACCGCACAAGAUAGCAAGGGCCGGGUAAGACCGGUGCCAGCCGCCGCGGUAACACCGGCGGCCCGAGUGGUAGCCGCUAUUAUUGGGUCUAAAGGGUCCGUAGCCGGUUCGAUAAGUCCUCUGGGAAAUCUGGUUGCUUAACAAUCAGACUGCCAAGGGAUACUGUUGAACUUGAGACCGGGAGAGGUAAGAGGUACUUCAGGGGUAGGAGUGAAAUCUUGUAAUCCCUGGGGGACCAUCUGUGGCGAAGGCGUCUUACCAGAACGGGUCUGACGGUGAGGGACGAAAGCUGGGGGCGCAAACCGGAUUAGAUACCCGGGUAGUCCCAGCCGUAAACGAUGCUCGCUAUGUGUCAGGUACGGUGUGACCGUAUCUGGUGCCGUAGGGAAGCCGUGAAGCGAGCCACCUGGGAAGUACGGUCGCAAGACUGAAACUUAAAGGAAUUGGCGGGGGAGCAC
rnacentral:rRNA from 1 species